GUGGGGAAUUUUGGACAAUGGGCGCAAGCCUGAUCCAGCCAUGCCGCGUGCAGGAUGAAGGCCUUCGGGUUGUAAACUGCUUUUGUACGGAACGAAAAGACUUCUUCUAAUACAGGAGGUCCAUGACGGUACCGUAAGAAUAAGCACCGGCUAACUACGUGCCAGCAGCCGCGGUAAUACGUAGGGUGCAAGCGUUAAUCGGAAUUACUGGGCGUAAAGCGUGCGCAGGCGGUUAUAUAAUACAGAUGUGAAAGCCCCGGGCUCAACCUGGGAACUGCAUUUGUGACUGUAUAGCUAGAGUACGGUAGAGGGGGAUGGAAUUCCGCGUGUAGCAGUGAAAUGCGUAGAUAUGCGGAGGAACACCGAUGGCGAAGGCAAUCCCCUGGACCUGUACUGACGCUCAUGCACGAAAGCGUGGGGAGCAAACAGGAUUAGAUACCCGAGUAGUCC
rnacentral:rRNA from 1 species